CUAAUGAUGGGCGGUGUGUGAAGCACGUACAACAGAAUCUGGUGUGUAGUAAAAAGAGUGGAUGGGCUCUGCCUCAUGAUGUACAGUCCCUUUCCACAGCGUUGGAGAUGAAGCCAGGCCUUGAGUCUGCGCCUGCAUAUUCCUACAGCUUCUCAGAGUCCUGUGAACAAUGACUGAGGUGAUAAACCAUGCAUUGAGACAUCU
rnacentral:snoRNA from 1 species